CCUAAAACGGCUGGAGUCAUAUUCUAACUCAUUCCUAUCAACUUUCAUCUCAAUUUUAAUCCUUGGCUGAGUUGGAUUAUAUCAUUUCUGGGUUUUCUUCUUUUGAUCGUUCAAGAGACCCGUCAACUGCUCGUGCUUCGGAGUCUACGCAGGGUUAGCUGUUUGCCAAGAUUCACGUGGAUAGCAAGCAGUGAGUUUGUAGUGCUAUUUACCGCUUUAUUAAGUACCGCAAUUUAUUUUAGUAUUAUAAAUUCUUUUGAACUGUUUUAAGCGAUUACGGAUCUGGAUUGAAACGAGCUACUCGAUAGGCUUGUAUCGAGACUGUGUGCACCGGUAAGUACUCUGGGAUCGGCAGACUAAUGUCUUGCUUACGCUGGUAUAUGACGAGGAUAUGUUCCCGUCCACUCUGGGUUUAUCAGUAUGCUAUGUCAUACUUACGCUGGAAUCAUUUCAAUACUGUUUUCCAUAAUCAUACUAUAUUAGUAUAAAAUGUUUUGAU